GGCGAAAGGGUGAGUAACACGUGAGAAUCUACCCAAGGGAAGGGGAUAACUUAUCGAAAGGUAAGCUAAUACCGUAUACGUCCUUAUAUUGUAGAGAUAUAAGGAGAAAGGUGGGGACUACUUCGGUAGCCUGCCACCCCUGGAUGAGCUCGCGGCCUAUCAGCUAGUUGGAGGGGUAAUGGCCCACCAAGGCUAAGACGGGUAGCUGGUCUGAGAGGAUGGUCAGCCACACUGGGACUGAGACACUGCCCAGACACCUACGGGUGGCUGCAGUCGAGAAUCUUUCGCAAUGGGGGAAACCCUGACGAAGCGACGCCGCGUGCAGGAUUAAGGCCUUCGGGUUGUAAACUGCUGUCGGCAGGGGAGAAACGCUUUUGGUUAAUAACUAAAAGAAUUGACUGUACCUGCAGAGGAAGCCACGGCUAACUCUGUGCCAGCAGCCGCGGUAAUACAGAGGUGGCAAGCGUUGUUCGGAUUCAUUGGGCGUAAAGCGUUCGUAGGCGGUCCGUAAAGUCAGAUGUGAAAGCCCACGGCUUAACCGUGGAACUGCAUUUGAAACUCAUGGACCCGAGGGUAAGAGGGGUAGAAGGAAUUCCAAGUGUAAGGGUGAAAUCUGCAGAGAUUUGGAAGAACACCAGUCGCGAAGGCGUUCUACUGGCUUACUUCUGACGCUGAGGGACGAAAGCUAGGGGAGCGAACGGGAUUAGAUACCCCGGUAGUCCUAGCCGUAAACGAUGUUCACUAGGUGUUGGGGAGAUAUACUCUUCGGUGCCGCAGCUAACGCAUUAAGUGAACCGCCUGGGGAGUACGAUCGCAAGGUCGAAACUCAAAGGAAUUGACGGGGACCCGCACAA
rnacentral:rRNA from 1 species